GAUGAACGCUGGCGGCGUGCCUAAUACAUGCAAGUCGAGCGAACAGACGAGGAGCUUGCUCCUCUGACGUUAGCGGCGGACGGGUGAGUAACACGUGGAUAACCUACCUAUAAGACUGGGAUAACUUCGGGAAACCGGAGCUAAUACCGGAUAAUAUAUUGAACCGCAUGGUUCAAUAGUGAAAGACGGUUUUGCUGUCACUUAUAGAUGGAUCCGCGCCGCAUUAGCUAGUUGGUAAGGUAACGGCUUACCAAGGCAACGAUGCGUAGCCGACCUGAGAGGGUGAUCGGCCACACUGGAACUGAAACACGGUCCAAACUCCUACGGGAGGCAGCAGGAGGGAAUCUUCCCCAAUGGGCGAAAGCUUGACGGAGCAACGCCGGGGGGGUGAUGAAGGGCUUCGGAUCGUAAAACCCUUUUAUUGGGGAAAAAAAAAUGUGUAAGUAACUAUGCACGUUUUGACGGUACCAAAUCAAAAAGCCCCGGCUAACUACGU
rnacentral:rRNA from 1 species